AGGAGUCGUGAACCUUAUGAUCCAAAAUAGCUAAUGAAUCUUCUUUACCAUCGGAUCACAAGCUUCUUCGUUUUUAUCUAUGUAUUGAUAUUUAUAAUAUAAGAAAAAUAAAUAUUGUAGAAAAUUCUAAUGAUGUCAGAUUGUUCAAUUCCAACUUCUUCUUCUCAUUUUCUCCAAAAACACAAGUUCACUUUCUCUCUCUUCCUCUUCUUCUAGUUUCUCUCUUCUGAUGCCUCUCUUUUCGUCUUAUUCUUUCUUCUCUCGAAUGUUGCCUCUCUCUUCUUGUUCUUCGUUCUCUAUUUUGCUAUCUCUCUCUUUCUCUUCUUCUUGCUUCUCUCUUACUUUUCUUUAACAAAGACUAUAGGAUUCUGGUAGAAUUUAUAGAGAUCUAUUAAUCAAAAUAUUUCAAGAUAUAUAUUUGGUUAUGAAAGUAAUUGGAUUUACAGAGAUCUUCCUUUUACUUUUGUGUUUAACUCUUGGUCGCAAGAUAAAUUAUGCAUCUACAUUUUCAAGCUUCGUAAGUGAAUCUUUGAAAAAAUGUGAGAUUAAUUUUAAAGAAGUAUUCUGAAUGGUGAUAUGUUACAGAAUCAGCUAAUCUCCGGGAAAUGUGUUUGUGUUCAUCUUCUCUUUUUUCAACUAAGUUUGUUUUGUGUUUGAUUAGAUUUUUGACAUUACUUAUAUAUUUUAAUGCUUCGUCUUCUGUUUUUGAGCUUUUCAGUCUAAUUGAUUAUGGCAUGAUUGAUUUCAUUUUGGUUUCAUUUAAAAUAUUUUAUAUGUCAUUACAUUAUAUAGGAAUUAAGCCCAUUGAAUUUGUUGGCUAUUAUUUCAGAAUCAAUUAGGUUAUUCAAAAGGUUUUCAAAUAAUGUUUGAGUUUAUGCCAAUGGUUUAUUAGGACAUAAUGUUUUAUAACAGAAAAAAUUUACUAAAGGUUGGUGUUGAUCUUCUUGUGAUAGUAUCUAUGAAUCGCAUUAUCUCAUUUGGCGAACCUGAUCAUCCGAUUGUUGGAAGUUAGAGUGGAACAUUAGGAUAUGUAAUGUGUGGGGAUGAAGAUAGAAAACUGAUGAGCCAAUUGUUAGAGCGGCUAAAUGUUUCGGGUACAGUGAGUCAGAUUAUUGACAACUACUUUUGAAAGUCUAUUAUUUAGCUAAUGCAAGGACAAGCAAUGAAGAAGAUGAACAAUCUUCUUGAGCUCUAUUACGAAAUAUAAUUAUAUGUUGAAAAGUUCAAGAAUAAAGGAUUGGGACAAAAAUUCGACAAGAAGUAUCUUUUGCUAACAAGUUCAAGAAUAAAGGAUUGGGACAAAAAUAUGGUAUAUCAACUACAAUUUUGUCACUAGCAAUUGGCAUCUGAGAGGCAUUUAAAGAUGCAAUAUUUGGCUCCUUCCGAAGGCAAGGUCAUUUUUAAAGGCGCAAAAGACCUGGAAAUUUCCACAUUUAAAUUUUGAUUAAAUAAGACUUUAUAAAAUAUUUGUCAAGGUUAAAUUAUAGUUAAAUAGAAUUUUUAUUUAUUUCGACAUGAUUAUACUACGAUUAAUCUACACAAGGUCUUUAAGAACUUGAGACGGCUCUAUUGUUGGCUUUAACGUUGCUUUGAGAUUGAUCAGCCAUAUGCUGAAGUUUAUUUGAAUUACCGUCAUAUGUUGGAAUGAGAUUAACAUGUACAAUAUCAUUAGUUUUUAUAUAUAUUUUGUUAUGCAA